GCUACGGGUGGCUGCAGUGGGGAAUAUUGCACAAUGGGGGAAACCCUGAUGCAGCGACGCCGCGUGCGUGAAGAAGUAUUUAGGUAUGUAAAGCUCUAUUAGCAGGGAAGAAAAUGAAGGUACCUGACUAAGAAGCACAGGGUAACUACGUGCAAGCUGCCGCGGUAAAAUGCAGGGGGCAAGCGUUAUCCGGAUUUACUGGGUGUAAAGGGAGCGUAGGUGGCAUGGAAAGCCAGAAGGUGAAACCCGGGGCUUAACCGCGCGGAUUGCUUUUGAAACUAUCAGGCUGGAGGGCUGGAGGGGUAAGCGGAAUGCCUAGUGUAGCGGUGAAAUGCGUAGAUAUUAGGAGGAACACCGGUGGCGAAGGCAGCUUACUGGACAGAAACUGACACUGAGGCUCGAAAGCGUGGGGAGCAAACAGGAUUAGAUACCCCUGUAGUC
rnacentral:rRNA from 1 species